UUUAAACGCAUAAUCAUGAUAUUUAGUGUAUUAUGCGAAUGAUGAUUUGAAAAGAGAGUUCUAAACAUAUGGUAAUUGAACUCAAUAGGAACGGGCGCAGGAGCGUCAAGUGGACAAGCGAGUGCCGAACCACGUCAAAAAGGGUUACUUUGAAGGUAAUUAGAAGUCAUGGAUGGCGAUCAAGCGACAAGAUAAAUGAACCGAACACUCCACUUCGAAGCUUCCGCUAUGUUAAAUUUGUUAAACAGUGGUUCUUUUGUUGUAAUCAAAGUCUUAAACAACAAUAUUACGUUCUACUUUUGUACUUAGUAGGCUAACUAGUAAAAGUUUUGAAACUUAUGUAAAUUUUAACGGCUUUUGGUAUAAAAUAGAUAUUUAAUUCUA